rfam:Gossypium raimondii Chr02_contig_1477, whole genome shotgun sequence.
CGUUAAAAAUUUUAUUCUUUUAUACUAUUAAAAAUUGGCAUGGCUGAUAGAAUAAUUAGAUAGUAACAUGUGAGAUGCCACGUGUAUAUCAUUUUGGCGUACAUGGACAAAUUUUUAACAACAGAAAUGGAUAAAAUUUUUAAUA